rnacentral:misc_RNA from 1 species
ACGAUACAGAUAGAGAUAGACAGAGAGAGAGGGAGAGAGAGAGAAAUGAGAACAAGGAGAGGGCUUUGUUAUCCUAGAGCAGACGCUUGUGUAGAUAAGAGUUUAGUAAAGAGAAGAAAAGGUGGAGAUUUCACCACAACCGCUACUGUUGCCGGAGAACAAAUGCUUUCCCGGAAAAGACAGCGGUUAUCGCCGGAGAUUGCUGGAGAGACUGACUUUUUUGAUUCUUUGCCUGAUGAUCUUGUCAUGUCUAUUCUCGGCAAGCUUAGCUCCUCUGCCUCUUGUCCUUCUGAUUUCAUUAACGUUCUGAUAACAUGCAAGAGAUUAAAUGGGUUAGGCCUUCAUUCUCUGGUACUAUCUA